GAUAAGCUGUGAAAAAUGAAACUCCUCAAACUUUUGAGCUGCUGCAUUCGGGCACCCAGUGAGGACACUGAGGUAGAGAUGCAGAGGUCAGGGGUCGAGGUCAAAGAGAUGGGAUCUGGAGUGAUGGCUGAUCGGUCUGUUCAUCUGGACAUGUCAUGUGACUAUCCAGAUGACCUUGCAGCCUCACUCAUAGCAUUGUUCAGCGAAAAGGACAGCAGCCAACAGCAGUCAACACCUCAACUAGCAAAAGAGGAAGGUGCUGGAGACCAAGCAUUGGCUGUGGUUCGUCCUAAAUUGGACAGCGAAAAGUUCCGUCCUAGAGUCACACAUGAGCGUCCGGCCCCACAGCGGGGUGAAUGGCGAACGGCUCCAACGCCAGAGCAAAGAGAUGCGGAGGAGUAUGUGAGGAGGGAAAUCCUUCUCCGCUUUUUUUUGCCAGGAGGGGCAUCCACAACGAGAAGGCAACCGAGCUACUCAAAAAAUAUCAAUAAUGGUUGAUGCAUUGCAUCACAUAAAUAUUUCCAUUAAUCAUUAAUAAAAUCCUUUUAUUUUA